rnacentral:rRNA from 1 species
AUUGAACAGCUGGUUGCAUGCCUUACUCAUGUCCGUCAAAAGGAAACGGGCCCAUCUCGAUGCCGACAAUUGGCGAACCCGGUGACUGAUAUAUCUCAACUUGCCCAGAAUAGGGGGAUAACUGCUCGAAAGAGCCCCUUAUACCGCAUACUACCUGACGGGGAAAGGCGGGGAUCGCAAGACCUCUCUCUAUUGGAGCGGCCCAUAUCUUAUCUACCUAGUUGGUGGGGUAAAGGCCUACCAAGGCCACGAUCUGUACCUGGGCUGAUAAGACAAACAGCCGCACUGGGACUGAGAACCUGCCCAGACUCCUACGGGAGGCAGCUGAGGAGGAAUUUUGGACAAUGUGUCGCAAGCCUGAUCCAAGGAAUGCCUCGCGCUCGAGGAAGGCCUUCAGGUUGCAAACUGCUUUUGUGAUGUAAGAAAUCUUCUGGGCUAAUACCCCUGGACGAUGACUGUACCUGAACAACAAGCACCUGUUAAAUACUUGCCCUCUGCCCCGGACAUCCCUAGGGUGCUAGCGUUCAUCGGAAUUACUGGCCGUAAAGCGUGCACAGGCCGAUUUGCAAGACAGAUGUGAAAUCCCCGGGCUCUACCUGGGAACUGCAUUUGAGACUGCAAGGCUAGAGUACGGCAGAGGGGGAUGGAAUUCCGCGUGUGGCAGUGAAAUGCGUAGAUAUGCGGAGGAACACCAAUGGCGAAGGCAAUCCCUCUGGGCCUGUACUGACGAUCAUGCAGGAAAGCGUGGGGAGCAAACAGGAUUAGAUACCCUGGGUAGUCCACUGCCCUAAACGAUGUCAACUGGCUGUUGGACGGCUUGCUGUCCAGUAAUGAAGCUAACGCGUGAAGUUGACGGCUUGGGGAGUACGGCGGCACGGAUGAAACUCAAAGGAAUUGAGCGGGGACCCGCACAAGCGGUGGAUGAUGUGGUUUAAUUAGAUGCAUCGUGAAAAACCUUACCUACCCUUGAGAUGUCAAGAAUUCCGCAGAGAUGUGGAAGUGCUCGAAAGAGAACUUGAACACAGGUGCUGCAUGGCCGUCGUCAGCUCGUGUCGUGAGAUGUUGGGUUAAGUCCCGCAACGAGCGCAACCCUUGUCAUUAGUUGCUACGCAAGAGCACUGUAAGGCGUCUGCCGCUGCCAAACCGGAGGAAGGUGGGGAUGACGUCAGGUCCUCAUGGCCCGAAGGGGUAGGGCUACCCACGUCAGGCAAUGGCCGGUACAGAGGGCCGCCAACCCGCGAGGGGGAGCCAAUCCCAGAAAACCGGUAGCAGUCCGGAUCGUAGUCUGCAACUGGUCAGGGAGCAGUCGGCAUCGCUAGUAAUCGCGGAUCAGCUUGCCGCGGAAACACGUUCCCGGUUCG